UACGUAGGGGGCAAGCGUUGUCCGGAUUUACUGGGCGUAAAGAGCGUGUAGGCGGCCAAGCAGGUCCGUUGUGAAAACUGGAGGCUUAACCUCCAGACGUCGACGGAAACCGCGUGGCUAGAGUCCGGAAGAGGAGAGUGGAAUUCCUGGUGUAGCGGUGAAAUGCGCAGAUAUCAGGAAGAACACCAAUGGCGAAGGCAGCUCUCUGGGACGGUACCGACGCUGAGACGCGAAAGCGUGGGGAGCGAACAGG
rnacentral:rRNA from 1 species